rnacentral:rRNA from 1 species
CGAGUGGCGGACGGGUGAGUAAUGUCUGGGAAACUGCCUGAUGGAGGGGGAUAACUACUGGAAACGGUAGCUAAUACCGCAUAACGUCGCAAGACCAAANAGGGGGACCUUCGGGCCUCUUGCCAUCGGAUGUGCCCAGAUGGGAUUAGCUAGUAGGUGGGGUAAAGGCUCACCUAGGCGACGAUCCCUAGCUGGUCUGAGAGGAUGACCAGCCACACUGGAACUGAGACACGGUCCAAACUCCUACGGGAGGCAGCAUG